AUUGAACGCUGGCGGCAGGCCUAACACAUGCAAGUCGAGCGAGCGGCGGACGGGUGAGUAAUGUAUGGGGAUCUGCCUGAUAGAGGGGGAUAACUACUGGAAACGGUUGCUAAUACCGCCUACUUUCGGAUGAGUCCAUAUGGGAUUAGCUAGUAGGUGGGGUAAAGGCUCACCAAGGCGACGAUCUCUAGCGGGUCUGAGAGGAUGAUCAGCCACACUGGAACUGAGACACGUCCCAGACUCCUACGGGAGGCAGCAGUGGGGAAUAUUGCACAAUGGGCGCAAGCCUGAUGCAGCCAUGCCGCGUGUGUGAAGAAGGCCUUAGGGUUGUAAAGUACUUUCAGUGGGGAGGCGUUACCCAAAGAAUAAGCACCGGCUAACUCCGUGCCAGCCGCCGCGGUAAUUC
rnacentral:rRNA from 1 species